AUGGCUCUUGGCCCAAGAUGGAGAGUCUAACAAAGGUAAGAGAGUAAUUGGAGGUUCAUUCUUAGUUAUACAUUGUACUUAGCCAUGGUUAUUGGGUCUUAAUGAAUCCCAGAGUCCUAUUAUAGGCUAUGAUAGAGACAAGGAGUUAAAUAAAUCUGGUCUUAUUGCUGGCAAAAUUUCUAAGCAGGGAGAAGUAGCACACACUACCAGCACCUUGGGAACAGUGGAAUGGGAGAAACAACAGGACAAAUGAAAUCUAGACAAUAUAAAGGAUGAGACGAAAAGUUGGUACUGGAUAGGCUAGGGACUAGGCAGGCUUUGCAGAAGCAAUAAUGCCCAAAUUCAGUUUUGAAUGAGAGGUAUGGGAGGAGAUAAUAGUAUAGGAGAAGGUCAUAGGUCAAAUGCAAACUCAAGGAAUCAUAGGCCAAGAAAAUUGAUUUGAGCAAUUUUAAUCUCUUUCAGCAUGGAUGAAGUAUAGUGUGUGAAGAACAUGAAAAUAAGACUAUAGCAGUGGUUCUCAACCUGUGGGUCACAACCCUUUGCGGGCAUAUCAGAUAUCCUGUAUAUCAGCCUUGGUUGCCUUAAGGUGGAUUUGAGAGCAGGUUGGUCCAUAGGUGGCCAGGAUGGGGCAGCGUCCAAUACCAAAUAGAAACUGCUGCUCAGGGAUCCUGAGCAUCAUUGACAUGCCUCUGGGAAUGGCAGAAUGACACCUGACAAUCAACCUUUGAUCCACACUUGAAGCCACUGUCUUCCCAAGACUAUUAUCCUCAGCAAGGUGGGAUGGCACACACCUUUAAUCCCAGCACUUGGGAGGCAGAGGCAUGCCCAUCUCUGUGAGUUCAAGACCAGCCUGAUCUACAAAGUGGGUUCCAGGACAGCCAGGGUGACACAGAGAAACCCUCUCAAAACACAAAACAAACAAACAAACAAAAGACUCUUAUCCUGAACCAAAUGAAACUUUGGCCUGCUAAUGCAAACAGAUCCCAUUCGCCAGAGCUCCUGAGGAUGGAUAGUCCUGCUGUGUCCUGAGAAUGUUCUACCAACGAGGGAGAAGGAGCCUGAAGCCAGCUGUCAACUUAAGGAGAUCCAGGAAACAGGAAAGCGCAGGCAUGCACCCAACAGGCUGUGUACCACCAGGAAAGGACUGGGAGAAUAAAACCCACCCAGACUGGCAUACCUCCAGUAGUGAAGAGGAAGAAUGUUAAGUGACCUCGCGGGAGAACUGGAGCUUCCCAGGUUAUUGGGAAGGAUGCAUUGCUGAUACUUAAUCAAGGCCUGAGACCUUUCAGUGCACAGAUCCUGCUCAGGAAGGCUUCUUCAUACCUACGAAGUUUCUGAGGUUUAGACUCUGAUAUCAAUCCAGUGCCUCUGGGCUCCAGGCUGCCUCUCGGACCCUCUUUGGCAGCAAUACCUGUCCUUCCCAAGGACAGACAGACGGCAAGGACACCCAGAAGAAGGAAGCAGCUGGCAACUGAUCAACAGCACGUACAUUGUUAACCGAGUGGAUCAUAAUGCUCCCUUUUGGAAAGCAAGAACACGGUGGACAGAGUCAUGGUAACCUACAGUCAGGGCCAGGCAUGCAAUAGAGAAACAGAAGAUACAAGUACCAAGUCAGAGCCCUGUGGGGAUGUGAGACUUAGAGACAGCUCCAUUGUGGUGGACACAUCAGAGAUCAAGCACACAGUGGGUCUAUUGUGGAUGCCAUCAACCCCAGACAACAGGAAGCAGUCUAGAAAACACAAUGCCCACAUUCCCAAGAUGGGGAGGUGCCACUUUGCUAUGCAAUAAAGGCAGAGCUACCGAAAAGCAUCGUAGGUUCCUGGGGCUCAGCUACGUCCCAAUGUGAAUUAUUAAUAAACAAAAAGGAAAGAAGCUGUAUUUUCUUUCAGCCUCUUAGCACUGAACAACAAAGAGGAAGGUAGGCUAUUACCUGCUCCUGGAUGCCAAACACAAUGUCCCUGCCUGGGCUGAAUCACUCACAAGAGCUGGGAAGCAGAGCUGUUACUAAGACAACAGAUCACGGAUCCAUCUCCUCUGUGAGGCCCCUUUUCUUCCUCUUCUCUCAUAUCAAGUAAAAAAGGGAGAACUCUGGGAUAAAAAUACUGGCAGUGAACAAUGAUACAAUGAAAUGAUGCUUUUCUACAUUUCAGUAAUGGAGGGAUUACUUUAGAAUAACAUUUAUAUAGAAAAAAACUUUAAAAUUAAUUUUUCUUUAUAAAACAUAUGAUAAUUGAUGUAUACUUCCAUGAUAGCGAAUAUAAUAUAAAAUCAGACAAUGUCAAAAAUAAUGACAAUAUAAAUGGAGAGAGUGCUUUGAUCUAUCAAAAUCUCCCAUAGGGCAUCGUGGGAAAGUGAUGUCUGAGCCCCAUCCUCCGAGAUACCUAUUAAGUGCAUAUGGGAUGUGCAAUAAGCACCAGUUUAAAAUUCUGUGUGUGGAAAGCCAAAAUGACAGUUAGCGUCUAGAAGAAAAACCAGCCUUUAAGAAUGUUGUGGGGUAUCCACCAGAGAAGCUGCUCGGACAUGAGUUUAAGUCAAUAGAAAGUCUAUUAUCUGGUCUGUGACUACACUGAGGUUCAGGAUCCCAGUGCACCCCAAACCUUUUUCAGGGGGAGCUUUAAAGCACAAAAACCAUGUUCUAGGUUGACAUACUUCAGUUAACAAGAACAGUUAGCCAGAAACAGAACCACAGAAGCUAAAAAGCAAGGUUAGUACAUUUAGAGACUUUCCCAGAACUAUAGACUUUGAUGGAUUAGGUCUUUGUUUUAGUUUGGCAAGUGGUGCUGUCUAUGUGCUGAGUCAGUUUUGCUAAAGUCUGGGGGCCUGUUAUAAAGAAGAUGAAUUAUAUCUGACUUAUAUUAAGUAUCAGGUUAGGUAGGGCAUAGUGGUACACACCUUUAAUCCCAGCACUCACAAGGCAGAGAAGCAGGUGUAGGUUCAAGGCCAGCCUGGUCUAUGUGGUGAGUUCCAUGUCACCCAGGGCUGGAGAGUGAGAUUCUAUCUCAAAUAAAUAAAUACAUAUUAGGUUAGGCACACUUGAGAACAAUUCCCAGUCUGUUCCCCCUCCCCCAAUUAUAUUGAACUUGAUGCCCUCUAAGUCUCUAAAACCCAAGAUCUGGAAAAUACAAAUUCAUUAGGAAUGAAAUGUGACACUUUCUUAUGUAGACCUCUUGUACCUGGGUAAUUUCAAGGUUUGUCACACAUUGAAUAGAUAGUUGUGUUCAACCUAAAACACCAAUUAGCCUGGAAAUUAAAGCUCCAAAUUAUAUUACAUGAUUAAGAUGAAUUACUAUUUAUGCUAAUGCUUAUUAAUUCUCUUUUUUGUUUUGAGAUGGAGAUCUGGCUGUGUAGCCCAAGUGGCCUGUAUUAGUCAGGGUUCUCUAGAAUAACAGAACUAAUAUGUGUGUGUGUGUGUGUGUGUGUGUGUGUGUGUGUGUAUGUAUACACACACAUAUAUUCAUUGUGUAUGUGAUUUCUUAUAGUGGUUUACAACCUAUGGUCUGAUUAUUCCAAUAAUGGCUGUCUCCUGGUAGAAAGUUCUAGAAUAAAUGUCUUAGCUGGUCUUUGUUGGGGGUAGCCAUCAGAGAAGACUGCUUGGACGUGGGUUUAAGCCAAUAGAAAAUCUCUUAGCCAGCCUGCGACUACAUAGAGUGUUUGGGAUCCCAACCCCAACCCUAUCUCAGGGUGAAAUUUUAAGCAGAAAGGCCAUGUCCUGGAUUGACAUACUUCAGGUAAUAAGAACAGCUAGCCAGAAGCAGAACCACAGAAGCUAAAAAGCAAGGUUAGUAUAUUUAGAGACUUUCCCAGAACUAUGGACUUUGAUGGAUUAGGUCUUUGUUUUAGUUUUGGCAGGUGGUGCUGUCUAUGUGUUGAGUGUUACAGCCUAAAUGUCACUUUUAUCAUGGAGUCAGUUGUGCUAAGGUUGGUGGGGGGGGUUGCUUAUCAAGGUCUGGGGCCCUGUUACAUUCCCUACUGGUCUUAGUGAAUGAGUCAAAUUGUGGACUCAUCCUGCUCUGAAGAGGUGGAGUUGGUACUAAGAGCAAUUAAUUUUAUUUAAUAUAUAAUUGGCCAUAUAGUUUAAGAUGCAGGACCCACUUUUAAUCCAAUCAGAAUGAGAAUUAAAGGCCUUGCCAGUGCUGAUAGCAGAGUAGUUAGUCAGGGGACCAAGAGAAUACAGACUGGUACCAAUUACAUAAUUAAUUUCUGUGGUAGUUUGAAAGAUGGCCCCCAAAGGGAAUGGCACUAUUAGGAGGUGUGGCCUUGUAUGAGGAUGUGUGUCUUUGUGAGAGUGGGAGUGGGCUUUGAGGUCUCCUAUGCUUAAUUAAGCUACACCCAGUAUUACAAUUCACUUCCUCUUGCGAGCCAAUCAAGAUGUAGAACUCUCAGCUUCUCCAGCAUCGUGUCUGCCUGCAUGCCGCCCACUAUGAUGAUAAUAGGCUAAACCUCUGAACUGUAAGGUAGCCUCAGUUAAAUGUUUUCAUUUAUAAGAGUUGGUGUCAUCAUAGUGUCUCUUCACAGUAAUAGAAAGAAACCCUAACUAAGGCAAUGUCUUUUUUAGUUUUUUCCAACCAUGGCAAGAUUUUUCUAAUUACUCCUGAUUGAUUGGCAUAGAAACAACAGGUUUUCCCCAAAGCCAUGUAUAGUCCCCCUUCUCUCAUGAGAAGUACGUUUAAACCUCUCUUAUUUGUAGGGCCAUUCUGUAAUUAAAUCUAAUUGUUAGUUUAGAAAUGAUAACUUUUAAUAUUUCUAUGUAUGAUCAUCAACCUGUCUGCUUAGUUUAGAAAGUAUCAGAAGAGGCACAUUUAGUCAAACCAUUAGUAUAUGCCACCAAGUAGUCUCAGGGGCUCGGUGAUACUGCUGUUGUCCAGAUGAAUUAAUCUGUAAGUCAGAAUAGCAGACACUGGAAUAAGGGGAAGUGCCUGUGUUAAAGGUUUUGGAGAUUAGACAAGUUUCAUCCCCUUGUAAGUCCUCUCACAUUAAUUUGGGCUGCCCCCAGUCAUGAUGAGUUUUGUCAGUCAAUGGGCUGACAGUCUGGUUAGUUCCUAUCAUGUGUAGUACGGGAGGGCCAGGUCUUGGUUGAAGUCAGUUUUCCCAGAGUUCACCAGGGUGUUAGUCUCUCAUUUGUACCCCUUCCUGGGUAACGUCUCUGGUUUGGAUUCACUUGAGCACAAACCUGGCAUCUGGCUGAGACGUCCCACAAUAGCUUGUCCGAUCUAGGUAUAACAUACCUUGGUCUGAUCAACUCACAAAGUUUUGUGGACUCCAGAUGAGUAGCCUGGUGAAGGUCAGUUACCAGAGUCCUGUCACUUGUUUCUGAGAGAAUGAUCUUUCCCUCUGGUGUCAUCCAUCAUCCUGUGUGUGGGUUUGAGCUGUCUGUUUUUUCUUUAACAUAGAGUCUCAGGCAGCAUGGAGUCAGGGGUAUGUCAUCAGAAUAUCAGUAGUUUACUGGACAACCAGGUCAGUGGCGGGUAUGGAGGACAGCAAUUUGGGGAAAGCCAAAUAGCCUCUAGGAGGGCCAAGAUUUUCUAGUGUUCUUUUUCCCAGCAGUGAGAAACCUUCCUUCUCUAUAGAUCAUAUGGACAUGCAUGGUAGUAAAAGCAUAGUGUUGGUCCAUGUAUAUGGUGGUGGACUUCCCUUUUCCCCAACUGAAAGCCUGGGUCAGAUCAAUCAAUUCUCUUUGCACUGUGGUACCUGGCUUGGGCCCAAAUCAAUUCAGUUAAAGUAACUGCUGCAGCCUCUAUGUACCUCGUUUCAUCUUUCACCUCAUGACAGUUAGUGAUGAGCACCUGAAGGUUGUCAUCAGGCAAGAGGGCAACAGGAUUGGUGGAGGUGGGUUUCUCAAACCAGACUCGAGGGUGGUCCAGGAGUAGGGCCUGGUACUGCGUCACAGUCAUUAGACAGACAGACAGCAUUGGUGCUCCUCAGAGGAGGGCCUCAAUUGCAUGGGGUGCUGCGUGUAUAGGAUCUUGACUCAGAGUUAGCUUGUUUUUGUUUGCUUGCAUUUUCAUCAGACUAGCAGUAGCUGCCACAUCUCUUAGGCAGGUGGGCCAUCUGGUGGCUACAGGGUCCAAUUGUUUGGACAGGUAUAUCACAGGGCGUUUCCAUGGCCCCAAAGUUUGGGUUAAAAUUCCUUUUGUAAUGUCUUUCGUUUCAUGGGCAAACCAAUACAAAAGUUUUGAUUCAUCUGGAAAUUCUAGGAUUGGUGCAGAAGUCAGAGCUUCUUUUAAAGCCUCAAAUGCCUUUGUUUAGUCUCAGUCCAGAUCAGGGGCUUAGUGUCUCCCUCUGUGCUGGUGUAUAGAGAGAGGCCUUGCUGUUCCCACAAACUCUGGUACCCAGAGCCAGCAAUAUCCAGCUGCACCUAGGAACUCUGGAACCUGUCUCUUAGUCUUUGGAGUUGGGAUCUGAGGAUGGCAGCAACCCUACCCUGAGACAGGCUCCUUUUGUCUCCCUUCAGCUGGUAGCCAAGAUAGGUAGCCGCCUACAAAGUUGGGCUUUCUUAGCUGACAUUCUGUAAUUCAAGGUCUAUAACUCAUGCAGCAGUCCCUCAGUGGUCCUUUUAUAAUCUAGUUUUCCAGGAAACCUCUGACAGAAGUGCAGGAAGUCUGCAUUUUGUGUCUUUAAAUCCUGGGACAACCUGGUCAAGGUAUGUUGUCCACAGUAACCUCCCUCUGGGUCUGUCCAUUUAAAGUCAAAGAUGGGUUGACUCACCUCUGCCAAUGGGAGGCUGAAGAAUGCAUCUUUCAGGUCCAAGACAGUGUACACCUGUUUCUCUGGAAGAAUCAAACUCAUGAGAAUCAGAGAUCCCAGGUCUUUUCACAGGUGGGAGAGGUGUAUUCCAGGGUGACUGACAGGGCACCAGGAUGCCUGUCUCUUCAAGCCAGGCAACAUGGACUGCAAUUUCCCUUUUGUGUCCAGGGCCAUUGGGUACUAUGUAAUCUGGACGGGUAGCUGAACUGGUUAGUUGAACAAUUAGAAGAACUUGGUAUUGGGCCAGUCCUGGAGUUGGUUUUUGCCCACACCCCAGCAAUCUUAAUUGUCAAUCUGAGAGACAGUCCAACUGUAUCUUUUGAUUGGAGGCAGAACUUCCUGCUACGUGAUAACCUGUAGCGAGUCUUUCUCUGUACCACCAGCCAGCUCCCAAAUCACUACAUCGAGACUUAUUAUUAAAUAUGAAAGCUUGGCUGAGCCGGACGGUGAUGGCACACACCUUUAAUCCCAGCACUCGGGAGGCAGAGGCAGGCGGAUCUCUGUGAGUUCAAGGCCAGCGGGGUCUACAGAGCGAGAUCCAGGACAGGCACAAAAAAACUACACAGAGAAACUCUGUCUCCAAAAAAAAAAAGCUCAGCUGAUAUAUUAAGCUUGUUUCUAACUAGUGCUUAAAACUUAAAUUAACCCAUUUCUAUUCAUUUACUUUCUGCCCCAUGGCUUUAUUACCUCAUCUCUGUAGUGCCCGUCCUGCUUGCUCUGCAUCUCCUGGUGUCUUCUGUUCUUCUUCUCAGCCUACUCUCUGCCCCAAAAAUCCUGCUUCAGCUUUUUAUUAAACCAAUCCAAGUGACACAUCUUGACAGUGUACAAAAAGAAUAUGCCACAACAGAUAUUCGUCUGACAGAAGGAAUGUUGUCACCAAAAUUUUGCUGGGUAUCUGUAAGUCUAACUGCAGCUCUUCAUCAGAAUGUGAAGUGGUUUCAGUUAGGCAAAAUGCCUUGUCCCAAUCAGUUCUCUGUUGUUAAACACGCUUUACGCUAUCUCAGGCAACUGGGACCUACAUACACAUUUAAAAUUUUAAACAUUAUAACUGUUUUAAUAUCUGGGGCCCAGCUGGGUGACAAAGGAAAUCUUUUUAGCAGUUGUCUUUAAUCCUUCUUAAAAGGACCUAGCAAAAGUUGUCUCCUUGGUCUGUAUUGGACAGAAGACAAAUCUGUUCCAUCCAGGCUGCAUUGUCUGGCAGUGAUCCCCCUGCCUGGCCUGGGGAUAGUUUCUCUUUUUUUCUUUUUUCAGAGAAUGAUGGGUUUUGAAUUUUUCAAUUAUCCAAAUUACUGGUUGAAAUGGAGAUAUAAAACAUGAAAGAGGAAGGAGUGAAACUUUCUUUUUUCCUUUGGGCUCAGCCCAGGGGUACUGUUACCCCACCUUGGGGCUUCUUAGGAGGGUAUGUGUAUCUUAGGGAUCUAUUUCCCCCUCCCUGUGUGCAUUCUGCUUAGAUGUCAGGGUACCCUCAGAAUGACAGGCCUGACCCUUCUUCACUUCCAUCUGGGGACCAGGACCAACCCUGACUAUGAGCAAGAGUCAAGUGAUGAAACUAGUGAGCACUCUGCAAAUGGAGCAAGCAGAGCCUUUUUCCCUUUCUGGGCAACUUGGCAGAGCCAAAAGGAUUUGAGUCCGCAACAGGAGGGAGCACAGGACUUAACGCAGGUUGAAUGGAGGAGUUUCUUACACUAGAGAAAGCCACUGGAUACAGGGAAACAGAACUGACAGAAACACAUAGAAAGAUAUGUAGUGGGUAGCUGUUCCAGCUUUGGCCUUGAAGCACUGCCCCAGUGAGGCAACAGGUAACUCCCACACCUGCCUAUGACCUGCCCCUGAGGUGUGGCCAAGAUGGGAUCCCUUAAGACCCGAGAUGCAUAUGUGCCCACUCUCUUGGCUCCUUGUGAUCCUGGAUGCUGGAUUGCAGACUAAGUCAGAGUUCUCCAGAGAACCAUGCUGGACUGCACCUCACCUCUCCUGAAUCCUGUAACUGGCCCCUUUACUAGUUGCAAGUUAUCCUGAAAUAAACCUCUUUUAACUACCAGAUAAACUACGUGGAAUUGCCUCAUUAAUUGCAACUUUAUCUGGUGCCCAACGUGGGCAGGAGGUGACAGACCAAGUAACUUUCUAAUUUAUUUUGGGGUGGAGGUGUCAGACUCCUCCAAAGCAUUAGACACCAAAUGAUCAAAGGGAAUCUUAGGGAUGUGGAACUCAGGUUGUGCACCCCUUAGGAGUCCCUAGACCAACAUAUUCUUCCCUGCGCCAAAGGGCUCUGAGACUCCCUCCCCAGUGUCUCAAGGUUUAGUCUCUGGAGAUCUCAGUGGAACCUCCAGAAAUGUUGUGGGGUAUCCUCCAGGGAAGACUGCUUGGGCAUGGGUUUAAGCUAACAGAAAGUCUUUAUUAGCUGGUCAGUGACAAAACUUUAUGUUUGGGAUCCCAGUGUAGCACUGAGCCUUUCUCAGGGUGAGCUUUUAAGCACAAAAACCAUGUUCUGGGUUGACAUACUUUAGAUAACAAGAAUAGUUUUAGUCAGAAGUGAAAUUACAGGAGCUAAAAAGCAAGGUUAGUACAUUUAGAGAUUUCUCCCAGAACUGUGGGUUUUGAUGGAUUAGGCCUUUGUUUUAGUUUUGGCAGCUAGUGCUGUCCAUUUACUUACUUUUACAGCGUGAAUGGCACUUCCAUCAUGGAGUCAGUUUUGCCAAGGUCUGGAGGCUUACUAAGGUCUGGGGCCAGUAAAGAUACCGUGAAGCCACGAGCCGUGUGGCAAGGUAGAGAUUUAUAGAAAUGGGUUAAUUUAAGAUAUAAGAACUAGAUAGCAAGAAGCCUGCCAUGGCCAUACUGUUUACAAGUAAUAUAAGUCUCUGCAUGUUUACUUGGAUCUGAGCGGCUGCAGGAGCUGGGUGGACACAGGAAAACUCCAGCUACAUAUAGAUAUGAUAGGAUGAAAGGGUAGAUUAAUGAGCCUACUUUUAUAGAACAACUUGUUUAGAAAUGUUUUACAUUGCUAUGGAUUUUAGUUUAUUGAUACAAGUUUAAACUUAAUUUUGUUAUACUGUAUAUAUAUAUAUAUAUACAUAUAUAUGUGUAUAUAUAUGUAUAUAUAUAUAUAUACACACACACUCUGGUUUGAGGUAUUAUGUUUAUGUAACUCAUUUAGAUUGUAAUGGAUAAUUAAAAAUACAGAUUAAUAAUUAGUCUUCUGUGAUAGUCAAACUUAUAGUCAUGUUAGGUUUUCUAGGUAUACAUAGAUAUAAUUCAAUUAAGUAGGUAGUUUUCAAACACUUCAAAGACCUACAGAAUACGACAUUUAAAAUGUUUUAAAAAUUUAGACUUUCUGGACAGUGAGACAUGUCUGCUCCUGGCAGUACCAAUUUACUUCAGAGAGGAGGAUGGGCAUCGAAGAUACUCUAUAUGGAGUUAAUCUUCUUCUUGGCAAAGAUAGCCAUUUGGGAAAGAAACUGUUCUUGCCUGGACUGCUUUCCCAAAGGAUGUGUCAACUGGAUAUGCAGGACCCAUAGGAAGGUAACCACUGAACUUUGCUUGGCGAAAUGGUCCUUCAGGUUCCUGCUUCACAGAGGAAACUGCCAGACAUUCUACAAGACACAGAGAAAAGUGACUGAGAGACUCUAGGCCUGUGGGCUGAACACAGAUGCCCCAACUUUACAGAGGAACUUUGGAUGACUGUCUAGGCUGCCAGCUGUCUCUGUCUACUCUUGCAAGACUCCAGAAAGUUGCUUGUGUCCUUCUCCUAUUUCUCAGGUAAUAUUAUAUCCUUCUGAGGUCUUUGAUGUAGUUGAAGACUAGAUAGUUAUAAUUUCCUUAGUUAUGAUAAAAGAUAAGUUAGAUAUAAAACCUUAGACUCACAAAUAUAGGAUAGAUAGGAUAUCUUCUUUAAUUUUGCCAAAUACAAAUAGACUAGAUAUUAUAACUAUAAUUCUUGCUUGAUAAUUGUUUUGUUAUAUGUAAUUUUACUAUGUUAAAGUUAAAACCUUCCUUUUUGAAAAAAAAAGAAAAGGGGAAGUGCUGGGGUUGUCUUUCUGUAUGCUGUGAAUGUGUUACUUUGAUUGAUUGAUAAGUAAAAGGCUGAUUGGCCAGUAGCCAGGCAUGAAGUGUAAGUAUAAGCGGGAUAAGCAGAGAGGAGAAAUCUGGGAAGUGGAAGGCUGAGUUAGGAGAUGCUGCCAGCCACCGCCGCCAUGAGAAGUAAGAUAUAAAUAUACCGGUAAGCCAUGAGCCUCAUGGCAAGGUAUAGAUUUAUAGAAAUGGGUUAAUUUAAGAUAUGAGAACUAGAUAGCAAGAAGCCUGUCACAGCCAUACAGUUUAUAAGUACUAUAAGUCUCUAUGUGUUUACUUGGUUCUGAGCGGCUGCAGGAGCUGUGUAGACACAGGAAAACUCCAGCUACAGGGACCCUGUUACAAUCUUCAGUAUAUGUCAGCAUCCUAAAGAAGUAGGCUCUAAUACAAGUGGAGAAUUGAACUUGCCAGUGAGAAUGAGGGCAAGCAAGCAAAGAGCAAAAGCUUAUUUCUUCUAUGUCCUUUCUGUAGGCUACCACCCGAAGAUGUGGCCCAGAUUUAAGAUGGGUCUUCCAACCUCAAAUGAUCCAAUCAAGAAAAACUCCUUACAGUUAUACCCAGCAGCUUAGGCUUUAGUUUAUUCCAAAUAUAGUAAAGUUGACAACCAAGAAUAGCCAUCACAAAUUCACCCCUUGUCAGCUUGACACACAAUUAUAUCUACUUAUGUUAUGCUUAUUUUCUAAGUGAAAAUAAUAACUAGGUUAUAAUUAUGCCUGAUUUGAUAUAACUGUCCCAUGUACAACUGCAAACACAUUUUAUAUUUUAGAAUGUCCCUUGAGGGACAUUCUUUUAGUAUCUCAAAGCUUAAAUAUGAUUAUGAACCACUGAUAUUCUCUUGUGUUAUAUUAUAUAAUAAAGAAACGAAAACACAAAUAACUUCACAUAUAUAUUCUUAACAAAAUAUGACAGAAACACUUGUGUCAGUUAUAAUCCUUGUUUCUGCAACUGAUCAUGUGGCCUUAGCUGAUAUUUAUAACUACCUUCCUCUACUACCCAUUCUGUAUUUCCUCCACCCUUGGCAAGUACCUCAGCAGCUCUUGGCUCUUUUCCUGGAGUGACCUAUACCUUCUUUCCUGAGGGGUCUGUAUUCUUUGUCAUCCUGCCUGGAUUAGGCUGUUGUAGUUUCCCAUUGACUUUAAUCACAGGGCAUGGUAGCACCAAGAGACUCCCUAAAAGAUCUGCUUACUCCAGACAUAAUCCUUCUUACCUCCAUUGUGAAGAGGUAGUCCUUUCUUAGCAGGUUGGCUUAAGGGCAUCAGAAGCCCGAAGUGGCCAAGAGGAAGUCUGAGCAUCCAGUUCAAUGGAAUAUUUCUGGUGGCUCCUGGUAAGAGUGCGCCCCUCUCUGGAACCAAAACUUCUAGGCCAGCAGAACUUAAGGUCAUGGGAACAGGGAACAAAAAUAUUCAUAGUGGGUCACUAUGGGUGAUCGCGAGUGGAACUGUUCCCUUUUCCACCCCUUGGUUACUAGAUCCUGGCUAUGGGAGAAAAUGUAUCAUGUAUUGGAUGGUGAUUCAAAGCAUAUACUGCCAUAUUGAGAAGCCUGCCCCAGCCCCGCCCUCCAGGCUGCUGCUACUUAAUUGGCACUGUAACUGUGUCUUCAAAGGGUCAUUCCAUCUUUCUAUCAGGCCAGCUGCUUCAGAACUACAUAGUGAACUCCAGGUCAGCCAGGGCUACAUAGUGAGAUCCUAUCUCAAAUAAAUAAAUACAUAAAUAAAUACAUAAAUAUAUGUCAUAUUAGACACAUUUGGGAUUUGGGAAACGUCUCAGGUUGAUAGAUUUCCCCCCACUCAAUUAUAUUGAAUUUAAUGUCUGCUAAGUCCCUAAAACCUAAAGUCUGGAAAAUAAAAAUUCUUUUGGAAUGAAAGUGACAUUUUCAUUUCUUAUGUAGACUCCUAGUACCUGCGUAGCUGUCAGGGUUUGUUACACAUUGAAUACACAGUUGCAUUUGACCUAAAACAUCAGUUACCCUGUAAGUUGAAGACUAAAGAUGGAUUAUGUGGUAAAGAUGAAUUAGUGUUUAUGCUAAUUCUUACUAAUUCUCUUCUGUUUUGUUUUGUUUUGUUUUGUUUUGAAAUGGAGGUCUGGCCUGAGUUUCUUGAGUGACUGAGAUUCUAGUGUACGAGCCAGAGGCGCAGGAAGUCAGCUGUGAGACUGUGCCUUCUAUAUAUGACUGGGAAGCUGCACCCAUGGACUCUCAACAAUGUGAUCACCUAAACAAGACCCGAACAAGGACAACAGCACGGACGUGCCAAUGCGGAAGGGGAAAAUCUCACAAGGCCCCAAGUUUUGAUGGAGAGCUGCAAGCAGUUUGCUGACUGCUGAGAGAGGAAUCGGCCUUUCCCAGGGAUGAGUUCCCCACCCCAGUUCCUUAUCCACUCACUAUCAAAUGGUCCUUCUUAAAAAUGUACAUUUGAGCAGCACUAAGUGAACUCACUGAUUGUAUUUAUGUAUGCAUGUGGUUAUAUGUAUAUAUGUAUUAUGUGUGUAUAUAACAAUAAUAAAGGAAAAAUAAAUAAAAUAGAAAAAUUAAAUCUCUCUGGUCACUGGUGUCUCCACCCUAAACUUUUAGAUAUUUCUUACUUGCCUCUUCCACUGCCCUCCCCUAUCCCAUCCUCCUCUUGCUGGUCCUCUUUCUCUCUCUAAAUAGUGUUCUUUCUGCUCUCAUGAUGUGUGUGUGUGUGUGUGUGU